rnacentral:misc_RNA from 1 species
AACGCACAUUGCGCCCGCCAGUAUCCUGGCGGGCAUGCCUGUUCGAGCGUCAUUUCAACCCUCAAGCCCUGCUUGGUGUUGGGGACCCGCGGCCGCCGCGGGCCCUGAAAGGAAGUGGCGGGCUCGUUGCACUCCGAGCGAAGUAGACUUAUAGCUAGCUAUGGAGGUGCGUCGGGUUUCCGGCCGUUAAAGAACCCCAUCUUUAACCAAGGUUGACCUCGGAUCAGGUAGGAAUACCCGCUGAACUUAA